AAGGGUAUAGAGGUUGGUUGGUGAGCCGAGUGUAAAACCAACGUGUAAGGGUUCGAUUGUGAUCCCGGAAAAACAAUCGGGGUUGGUUCUAGUCGGUGAGCCUGGAAAAACCGACCGAGUUCGUUGUGAGCUCGUAAAACAACAAGUUUGGUUGUGAGCUUGGAAAACAACCGGCUGUAAUCCAAGGGGUUAUAGUAAAUUCCCAAGUGAGACUUGGGGAGUGGACGUAGGAGCAAGGGUUAGCUCCGAACCACUAUAAAACUUGGUGUUUGUGAUUGAUUGUCUCUCUUUCUCUUACUCUCAUAUCACUCACAGCACAUAGCAAUUAAUCGAACAACUUGCAAUAGCUUUAAUUAGUCAUCCACAUCGUUUUAAAUUGUAAGAUUAUUUUAAAACCCAAUUCACCCCCCCUCUUGGGUUGUCUAUCUGGGCAACA
rnacentral:lncRNA from 1 species